UACGAAGGGGGCUAGCGUUGCUCGGAAUUACUGGGCGUAAAGCGCACGUAGGCGGAUUGUUAAGUCAGGGGUGAAAUCCUGGAGCUCAACUCCAGAACUGCCUUUGAUACUGAGGAUCUUGAGUCCGGGAGAGGUGAGUGGAACUGCGAGUGUAGAGGUGAAAUUCGUAGAUAUUCGCAAGAACACCAGUGGCGAAGGCGGCUCACUGGCCCGGUACUGACGCUGAGGCACGAAAGCGUGGGGAGCAAACAGGG
rnacentral:rRNA from 1 species